GAAACCAUGCUGAUUAGACAAUUCUAAAUUUGAUCUUUUUGUUUAAAUAAAAAAAUAUUAUUAUUUUUUUUUACUGCUAAUGUAAAAGAGAAAUUAUACAUAUAUUAGAAAAAAAAAAUGUAAUUAAUUGUUUUUUUUUUUCGUUUUAUAAUAUAUUAAAUAAUCCUAUCUUUUUAUAUAUAUAUAUAUAUAUAUAUAUAUAUAUAUAUAUAUAUAUAUGUAUAUACAUAUAUAUAUAUGUGUAUAUAUAUGAAUAGAUUGUAAUUUAACAACAAAAAGUAUUAAGCCCCAAAUCGUAGACGACUUUUCUGUCUCAGAGUGCUGUAAACAUGAGAGUAAACUUUGUUUUACGAUCUGUUGAGGUUUAUCUCUUGUGGCAUUGAGCUAAUUU